AAUAUUGCACAAUGGGCGCAAGCCUGAUGCAGCAACGCCGCGUGCGCGAAGAAGGCCUUCGGGUCGUAAAGCGCUUUUCGGGGAGAAGAGGAAGGACGGUAUCCCCGGAAUAAGGCUCGGCUAACUACGUGCCAGCAGCCGCGGUAAAACGUAGGAGCCAAGCGUUAUCCGAAUUCACUGGGCGUAAAGCGCAUGUAGGCGGCCUGGUAAGUUGGCUGUGAAAUCUCCUGGCUCAACUGGGAGAGGCCGGUCAAGACUGUCAGGCUCGAGGGCGACAGAGGGAGGUGGAAUUCCGGGUGUAGUGGUGAAAUGCGUAGAUAUCCGGAGGAACACCAGAGGCGAAGGCGACCUCCUGGGUCGUACCUGACGCUCAGAUGCGAAAGCUAGGGGAGCGAAC
rnacentral:rRNA from 1 species